rnacentral:rRNA from 1 species
AUUGAACGCUGGCGGCAGGCCUAACACAUGCAAGUCGAGCGGAUGACGGGAGCUUGCUCCUUGAUUCAGCGGCGGACGGGUGAGUAAUGCCUAGGAAUCUGCCUGGUAGUGGGGGACAACGUUUCGAAAGGAACGCUAAUACCGCAUACGUCCUACGGGAGAAAGCAGGGGACCUUCGGGCCUUGCGCUAUCAGAUGAGCCUAGGCCGGAUUAGCUUGUUGGUGAGGUAAUGGCUCACCAAGGCGACGAUCCGUAACUGGUCUGAGAGGAUGAUCAGUCACACUGGAACUGAGACACGGUCCAGACUCCUACGGGAGGCAGCAGUGGGGAAUAUUGGACAAUGGGCGAAAGCCUGAUCCAGCCAUGCCGCGUGUGUGAAGAAGGUCUUCGGAUUGUAAAGCACUUUAAGUUGGGAGGAAGGGUUGUAGAUUAAUACUCUGCAAUUUUGACGUUACCGACAGAAUAAGCACCGGCUAACUCUGUG